ACGGGAGACACACGGCGGGUGCUAACGUCCGUCGUGAAGAGGGAAACAACCCAGACCGCCAGCUAAGGUCCCAAAGUCAUGGUUAAGUGGGAAACGAUGUGGGAAGGCCCAGACAGCCAGGAUGUUGGCUUAGAAGCAGCCAUCAUUUAAAGAAAGCGUAAUAGCUCACUGGUCGAGUCGGCCUGCGCGGAAGAUGUAACGGGGCUAAACCAUGCACCGAAGCUGCGGCAGCGAC
rnacentral:rRNA from 1 species